GGAAAGAUUUAUUCGCCGAUUGAUUCGGCCCCGCGUCUGAUUAGCUAGUUGGUGAGGUAAUGGCUCACCAAGGCGACGAUCAGUAGCUGGUCUGAGAGGAUGAUCAGCCACACUGGGACUGAGACCACGGCCCAGACUCCUACGGGAGGCAGCAGUGGGGAAUAUUGGACAAUGGGCGCAAGCCUGAUCCAGCCAUGCCGCGUGUGUGAUGAAGGCCUUAGGGUUGUAAAGCACUUUUGUCCGGGAAGAUAAUGACUGUACCGGAAGAAUAAGCCCCGGCUAACUUCGUGCCAGCAGCCGCGGUAAUACGAAGGGGGCUAGCGUUGCUCGGAAUCACUGGUAAAGGGCGCGUAGGCGGACUUUUAAGUCGGGGGUGAAAGCCCAGGGCUCAACCCUGGAAUUGCCUUCGAUACUGAGAGUCUUGAGUUCGGAAGAGGUUGGUGGAACUGCGAGUGUAGAGGUGAAAUUCGUAGAUAUUCGCAAGAACACCAGUGGCGAAGGCGGCCAACUGGUCCGAUACUGACGCUGAGGCGCGAAAGCGUGGGGAGCAAACAGGAUUAGAUACCCUGGUAGUCCACGC
rnacentral:rRNA from 1 species